rnacentral:piRNA from 1 species
GUGUCAUCGAGCAGGCUGACUCCCACCCC